rnacentral:misc_RNA from 1 species
GAUUAAACGAGAAGCGUCUUAACUGACCUUUUCACCCUUCACAUCCACAUACACCCUGUGAACUGUUUGGCUUCAACUCUUUUGUUGGGCUCUCGUCUUGAUAGAUUAGCAAUAGUCUACCGAGCGAGGGUGCGACUUUAGAGGGGGAGUCAUCAUACAUAUACAUACACAAAGUCUAAUGAAUGUAAACGUUUUAUAUAAACAAAAUAAAACUUUCAACAACGGAUCUCUUGGUUCU